AUUAUACUCCCUCCAUCCUAAAAUUCUUGUCUUUGAUUUAUCUAAAUGUGGAUGUGUCAAGUCACGUUUUAGUAUUAGAUACAUCCAUAUCUAGGUAAAUCUAAGACAAGAAUUUUAGGAUGAAUGGAGUAAUAU
rfam:Triticum aestivum genome assembly, contig: Triticum_aestivum_CS42_TGACv1_scaffold_147517_2BS